rnacentral:rRNA from 1 species
GGGUUGUGAGGUUAAGCGACUAAGCGUACACGGUGGAUGCCCUGGCAGUCAGAGGCGAUGAAGGACGUGCUAAUCUGCGAUAAGCGUCGGUAAGGUGAUAUGAACCGUUAUAACCGGCGAUUUCCGAAUGGGGAAACCCAGUGUGAUUCGUCACACUAUCAUUAACUGAAUCCAUAGGUUAAUGAGGCGA